rnacentral:rRNA from 1 species
CAGUCGCCACGGUAAUACAGAGGGUGCAAGCGUUAAUCGGAAUUACUGGGCGUAAAGCGCGCGUAGGUGGUUUGUUAAGUUGGAUGUGAAAUCCCCGGGCUCAACCUGGGAACUGCAUCCAAAACUGGCAAGCUAGAGUAUGGUAGAGGGUGGUGGAAUUUCCUGUGUAGCGGUGAAAUGCGUAGAUAUAGGAAGGAACACCAGUGGCGAAGGCGACCACCUGGACUGAUACUGACACUGAGGUGCGAAAGCGUGGGGAGCAAACAGGAUUAGAUACCCGUGUAGUCCCUGUCUCUUAUAA